AACCACACAGACACACUGCUCUUUUCUUCUUCAGUGGUGCUUUUAGUCAUUGUUAGAUUGUUUGGCUCAUGCAGGACUACAGCUAAUCACAUUGUUCAGUAUCGAUUAAUCUGCUGAAUCAUUCCGUGUCUGACAUACAGCUUCCAAACUCAGAGUUAAAUGUUGAGCCAACCGCUAAUCGGGGGAUCAAUAAACUGUUAAAGCGCAUUCAUCUUUCUUAGUUUUCAACCUUUUAUUGACGGUGUGAUCAAAACCAGGAGACACAAAAGCUCCAGUGUGUGACGGAAGUAAGAGAUGCACAAAGAGAUGCAAAAGCAGCACAAAGACAUGAACAAACCAAAAACACACAAAACUGCUGCAAAGACAUGUAAAACUGCCACAAAUGCACAUAACUACCACAAAAACAUGUAAAACUGCCACAAAGGUAUGUAAAACUACAACAAAAGCAUUUAAAAGUACAACAAAGGUAUGUAAAAACUACCACAAAGACAUGUAAAACUACCACAAAGGUAUGUAAACUACCACAAAGGUAUGUAAAACUACAACAAAGACAUGUAAAACUACAACAAAGACAUGUAAACUACAACAAAGACAUGUAAAACUACAACAAAGACAUGUAAACUACCACAAAGGUAUGUAAACUACCACAAAGGUAUGUAAAACUACAACAAAGACAUGUAAAAACUACAACAAAGACAUGUAAACUACAACAAAGACAUGUAAAACUACAACAAAGACAUGUAAACUACCACAAAGGUAUGUAAAAACUACAACAAAGACAUGUAAACUACCACAAAGGUAUGUAAAAACUACAACAAAGACAUGUAAAACUACAACAAAGACAUGUAAACUACAACAAAGACAUGUAAAACUACAACAAAGACAUGUAAACUACCACAAAGGUAUGUAAAAACUACAACAAAGACAUGUAAACUACCACAAAGGUAUGUAAAAACUACAACAAAGACAUGUAAAACUACCACAAAGGUAUGUAAAAACUACAACAAAGACAUGUAAACUACCAUAAAGGUAUGUAAAAUGACCACAAAUGCAUGUGAAACUACCACAAAGACAUGUAAAACUACCAUAAAUGCAUAUAACUACAACAAAGGUAUGUAAAAACUACCACAACGAUGCCCAAUACCAGCACAAAGAGAUGCAAAACUACCACAAGCACAUGUAAACAAUACGCCAAUGACCACAAAGAGACAAAUGUGCCACAAACGGAUUCAGAAUUCACACAAAGACAACCGUCGCAGUAAAGUGUUGCUCUAAAAACAUUAAAGGUACUUCAGUCAGCUGUAGCGUGUCUCAACUCGCACAGUAGUUACUGAACGUCACUGUGUUUUGUUACAUAACAGAAAUAGUGUUCAUGUUAGCAACAGACCGCAGGACAUCGUAACCAUAGCAACAACGGUUUGUUUUUUUCAGUUCCUGAUGCUCGGCCUUAAAACGUGAUGAAAAAUGUUCAGCAGCAGCUUAAAAACUGGAGUUUGAAGCAGAUCUGGACUCGAUGUGAGACAAAUAAAUCAGUCCUGCCUCUGGAGACGGUUAAAAAUAAAGAGACUUUGAUGAGUUUGUGCUGCUUCACAACAAAAAUAGGUCGACACACAUCAGCAGCUCUUCAGCUUCUUCUGGCACGCUCUAAUAAUAAUACUGAUGUUUAUUCAUAUAGCGCCUUUAAAAUUAAGCUACAAGGGCUAAAAAGGUUCAUCAGAUUACAGAAAAGGAGAAUAAAGCUAGAUAGGAAAUCUCCAAAAGAUAAAAAUAUAAAACAACAUUAAAAUCAACAAUUAAAGUGACUGAAAACAAAAAAUAAGUUCUAUGUAAGCAACUCUGGUCCUCAAAUGGGCGGAUCUGAAACUGUAAACUGCU